rnacentral:rRNA from 1 species
GGAUAACAUUUGGAAACAGAUGCUAAUACCGCAUAGAUCCAAGAACCGCAUGGUUCUUGGCUCCCAGAUGGCGUAAGCUAUCGCUUUUGGAUGGACCCGCGGCGUAUUAGCUAGUUGGUGAGGUAAUGGCUCACCAAGGCGAUGAUACGUAGCCGAACUGAGAGGUUGAUCGGCCACAUUGGGACUGAGACACGGCCCAAACUCCUACGGGAGGCAGCAGUAGGGAAUCUUCCACAAUGGACGCAAGUCUGAUGGAGCAACGCCGCGUGAGUGAAGAAGGCUUUCGGGUCGUAAAACUCUGUUGUUGGAGAAGAAUGGUCGGCAGAGUAACUGUUGUCGGCGUGACGGUAUCCAACCAGAAAGCCACGGCUAACUACGUGCCAGCAGCCGCGGUAAUACGUAGGUGGCAAGCGUUAUCCGGAUUUAUUGGGCGUAAAGCGAGCGCAGGCGGAUUUUUAAGUCUGAUGUGAAAGCCCUCGGCUUAACCGAGGAAGCGCAUCGGAAACUGGGAAACUUGA